CUCUGCUGGAGGAAGGGGUCACACUCAUCAUGCUUUCCACUAAUACAUCCUGUCCCUCACAUCCCCUAAUACCUGGCACCUUGACCAUGUCAGCUGAUCAGCACCUGUGACUCAUCCAUUGCAUAUGUUGCACAAACGCCAGCUGCCUCAUUUGAAUUUUUUUUGAAGUGAAAUAAUUGCUUCGCUGGACAUUGUGUUUAAAGGCUGGGUUCAAAUAAUGAGAUAUGAUCUCUGCAGCCCUGUUUCACCAUAAUAGAUCUGCCGUGAUUGAUAGGGUGGCUGAUCAAUAUGAUUCACUGAUUGCUUUGGCAGGUCCUGAGACUGCUGGCUUUCAAAACUCAUUUUCCACCUCAUAUUCUGUAAUCACAAAAACCCACAUAUCAAAAUAUCAUGUGUAAUAUGAAAUGAAUUCUGUGAUGUAGCACUUCCUCGUGAUUGCUGAUGCACACAAAUAAUGGGUCAGAUUUAAACCUUUUUUUUAUUUUUUAUUUUUUUGGGAGCUAACUACUUGUACCACAAUACCAGAUUGAUUUUUGAGUUUGUAGGAUGUGGAAAUAUGCGCUUUUUCUGCUGUCCAGCAAGUUUUGAAUUUGUUCUAGCCAACUUUCCAACUUCUGAGGUCAAGGUCUAAUACGUGCUUCACAGCUUGCAGAGGUGAAUUUUCCAGAUUCGACAUAAGGUCACUGAAAGCCUAGGCUUCUAAUAGUGGUCAGAAGCUAGCUUUCACUCCUGAGCAGAAAAGGACAAUGCUUUCUUUACUGCAGCUCUGCAUGGACAGGGCUAAACAAGUCAUCAGUCACAUGGGUGAAAAAGGUUAAGGGUGCACACUUCCAGAUCAGGACUUGAGAGCUGACUGAUGGGCUAUUGCUAUAAUGCGCUGCCACUGUGGUUAGACAUCUAUUAAUGUCAUAUAUUACAAAUUACCUUUAUACCACUGAGCCCAUGGGGUGUGUUGCUAUGCAAAAUGAUAUUUCAUAGCACUCAAAUAGUUUUAACAACCCAAUCAGAUAUAAAUUUGCAAUUUUAGAAAGCUUUACAA
ensembl:lncRNA